rnacentral:lncRNA from 1 species
UCCACUACCAUAGACGUCCCUCCUCCAGCUCCCACAGAGUAGGAGUGUAUCUGGACUGGUCAGCCGGCACUCUGUCCUUCUAUAGAGCCUCCUCUGACACACUGACCCACCUGAUCACAUUCACCUCCACAUUCACUGAGCCCCUCUAUCCAGGGUUUGGGGUUGAUUAUGAAUCCUCAGUGUCCCUGAAAUAAUAACUGGACACACACACACACACACACACACACACACACACACACACACACACACACACACACACACACACACACACACACACACACACACACACUGGACACAGACACACACACACACACAAACUGGACACACGCACACACUGGACACAGACACACACACACACUGGACACAGACACACACACACACUGGACACACACACACACACACACAGGACACACACACACACACCAACACACUGGACACACACACACACACUGGACACACACACACACUGAACAUACACACAGGACACACACACACACACUGGAUAUACACACACUCAACACACACACACACACACUGGAAACAAAUUGGACACACACACACUGGACACAAAAUGCACACACACUCACAGACAUUCUGGACACACACACACACACACUGGACACAAACUGGACACACACAUAAACAUACACUCAACACACACACACACUGAACACACACACAAACACUGGGCACAUACUCACACACACACACACACACACACACUCUGGACAUACACACACACACUUGACACAGACACUGGACACACACACACAUUUUGGACACACACACUCACACACACACACACAGGACACACACACACACUGGACACACACACUGGACACACACACAUACACACACACACACACUGAACACACACACACUGAACACACACACACACUGAACACACACACACACACUGAACACACACACACACUGGGCACAUACUCACACACACUGGACACACACACACUCUGGACACACACACACACACUUGACACAGACACUGGACACACACACGCACUGGACAGGUCCCCCUCUCCAUGUAAUCUGAUUCAUUAUGAUAUAGGAUCAGGUCCCCCCUCUCCAUGUAAUCUGAUUCAUUAUGAUCUAGGAUCAGGUCCCCCCUCUCCAUGUAAUCUGAUUCAUUAUGAUCUAGGAUCAGGUCCCCCCUCUCCAUUUAAUCUGAUUCAUUAUGAUCUAGGAUCAGGUCCCUCCUCUCCAUGUAAUCUGAUUCAUUAUGGUCUAGGAUCAGGUCCCCCCUCUCCAUGUAAUCUGAUACACGUACAUACAUACAUACACACUGUAUAUAUACACGUACAUACAUACAUACACACUGUAUAUAUACACGUACAUACAUACAUACACACUGUAUAUAUAUACACGUACAUACACACUGUAUAUAUAUACACGUACAUACAUACAUACACACUGUAUAUAUAUACACGUACAUACAUACAUACACACUGUAUAUAUAUACACGUACAUACAUACAUACACACUGUAUAUAUAUACACAUACAUACAUACACACUGUAUAUAUAUACACAUACAUACAUACACACUGUAUAUAUAUACACAUACAUACAUACAUACACACUGUAUAUAUAUAUACACGUACAUACAUACAUACACACUGUAUAUAUAUACAUACACGUACAUACAUACAUACACACUGUAUAUAUAUACAUACACGUACAUACAUACAUACACGUACAUACAUACAUACACACUGUAUAUAUAUACAUACACGUACAUACAUACAUACACACUGUAUAUAUAUACAUACACGUACAUACAUACAUACAUACACACUGUAUAUAUAUACAUACGUGUACAUACAUACAUACAUACACACUGUAUAUAUAUACAUACAUACAUACACACUGUAUAUAUAUACAGAAAUCCACUGUUUAUUUGAGGUAAAAAGGGAUGACCAGAGAGUACCCAUGAAGUUGUACAACAUUUGACAAGACAGUCAAGACCUAAGCAGUGUGCCAGAUGACCUUUGGCCUCCAAUAUAGGCCCCUUUCUGUGUUUGCUAAAAUUGCAGCGAUGCACACGCAAUUUGGUUGUAGAAACUCCUCCAUUCUAAUGAGGAAACCACUAGUUAUGGAUGUAGUAUAUCUGCUAAUGAGGAAACCACUAGUUAUGGAUGUAGUAUAUCUGCUAAUGAGGAAACCACUAGUUAUGGAUGUAGUAUAUCUGCUAAUGAGGAAACCACUAGUUAUGGAUGUAGUAUAUUUGGUAAUGAGGAAACCACUAGUUAUGGAUGUAGUAUAUCUGGUAAUGAAGAAACCACUAGUUAUGGAUGUAGUAUAUCUGGUAAUGAGAAAACCACUAGUUAUGGAUGUAGUAUAUCUGGUCAUGAGGAAACCACUAGUUAUGGAUGUAGUAUAUCUGGUAAUGAGGAAACCACUAGUUAUGGAUGUAGGAUAUCUGGUAAUGAGGAAACCACUAGUUAUGGAUGUAGGAUAUCUGGUAAUGAGGAAACCACUAGUUAUGGAUGUAGUAUAUCUGCCUGGAGCAAAAAUGGUGAGCGAAGAUGAUCGUUUUUCACAAUGUAUUCUGAAUAUUACAGCGCACUAUCAGGACAAGAUCAGGAGUGCUACUCAAGUAAACUCACAUUAAGUUCUGUCUAUUCACUAAUUCAGCACUGUGGGGGAAAACUCAGGAGAGUUCUCAUAGGCUGACAGCAAAAAUAGCCUCCAUUUACAGGUUGCAUAUGAGUGCAUUUAACAUUACUUUUGGAUUAUAAUUGUAAAGCUCGUUUGAACCUCCUGCUUAAUAUGUUUGCGUUAUUGUCGCAAAUCAACUGCUUUACACUUAAAAAACACUUCAACCAGUAAAAUGCUCUUUGGCUAGCUUUAACAUCAGCCUGACAAUGAGGGUUUGUACACUAAGUGUUUAACAAAUUGGCCCAUAACUUCACCUAACAAUAACAUAGACCUACUGUAGGACCCAUAACUUUAUCUAACAACGACAUAGACGUAGGACUAUAAAUCAUUUAAUAUUUCAGGUGAAACAUGGACACUAAAAUGUCUGUCGUGACGUUUCAUAACCUGAUCACCAGAUAAUUUUGUGAAUAAUCCCACUAGGCUACUCUGUAAUGUGUUGUCAUUCUAAAUGUCCUGAAUAAAGGAAAAUAGCUCUGUGUGUUGAACAAUAGCCUAUCCAUCAAGGAACAGUUCUCUACACAUUAUGAGCAAAGUAGGGAUGUUGGAUCCAACGUGGAGUGUAUCUCUGUGCACAAACAGAGUAAUGAGACCCUACUGUAAAUCAGCCAGACAGUAACACAUUAUAAACAUCGAUUUGUUUGGGAUGUUGGAUCCAACGUGGAGCACGGCAUAACUGUCUUUACCAGAGUAAUGAAUGAAGAAGCACUUUGGUUGUUGUUGCAUGUCGUGAUGUUUGUCAUGUGACUGUCAUUCAGAAAAUGAUUUCGUGGAUCAGCUGAUGAUAGUUGAACAUGUGACUGUAAAUAAACAGCUACAGUAUUAAGAAUUAUGUGUAAUUAUUGAAGAACCACGUUAAUGACAGUAUCCAUUUGGG